rnacentral:rRNA from 1 species
AAUCAACGCUGGCGGCGUGCCUAACACAUGCAAGUCGAACGCGAAAGCCCCUUCGGGGGUAAGUAGAGUGGCGUCCGGGUGAGUAACACGUAGGUAAUCUGCCUUCGGGUGGGGAAUAACCAGUCGAAAGAUUGGCUAAUACCGCAUAAUGCAGCGGCACCUAAUGGUGAUUAGUUGUUAAAGCGGGGGAUCGUAAGACCUCGCGCCUGAAGAGGAGCCUGCGGCAGAUUAGCAGUUGGUGAGGUAAUGGCUCACCAAGGCUUCGAUCUGUAGCUGGUCUGAGAGGACGGCCAGCCACACUGGCACUGACACACGGGCCAGACUCCUACGGGAGGCAGCAGUGGGGUAAUUUUGGGCAAUGGGCGAAAGCCUGACCCAGCAACGCCGCGUGAGGGAGGAAA